CCACAACUGAGCUGGACACGUUUGCUGGAGUACUGGAGGAGAUGGAGCCGGUGUGAUGGAGGCGCGGGUGAGGGGAAUCGAGCUCCCCUCGGUCCGUGGCGGUCUGCAGGGACACGGGUUUCUCCAAGCAGUGGCGAUAUGGAAAGGGAGAUAAAAAGGGUGCUGGUGAAAUAUACAAGUUAAGUGUGGAGGGAUGGUGAAAAACGAGAUAUAUCCUGACAGUCAUAAAAGAGGAAAACCCGUCUUCCUGUCCUUGGAGCCAGGAUUUCCGCAGUAAAGUCCGCAGAGAGCGCUGAGGUGUCAGCGAAACAUUACUCCUGUCCCAUGACCUCUGCAGGCCUCCGCUUCCACUCGCAGACAGACAGGAGACUGUGAAUCUGUAGCCUUCCUCUAAUACGCUUCCACUCGCGAUCCAGAAAUAACUUACACGUAAACACAUGGGAAUUUAUCAGAAUGUUUUAUUUUUUUUUUAUAGUUAGAAUUAUAUCAGGUAUAACACACAAAAAUCACAAAAUGUUUUAGACAAGUCUGGCUCAGUUCCUUAAUGUUUUCCUUUGCUUUUUUUUUUUUUUUUCAUUUAAUCUUUUCUUUCUUUUUUUUUUUAUACAGUAAAACAAACAAAAAAAUGGCAA